UUAACUCGAAUUUGUAUGGAGUUGGAACGUUUGUCGCUAAGGUCGCUGUUCCAACUGCAUACAUAUUUGCA
rnacentral:pre_miRNA from 1 species